UGGGGAAUAUUGCGCAAUGGGCGAAAGCCUGACGCAGCGACGCCGCGUGAGGGAUGAAGGUUUUCGGAUCGUAAACCUCUGUCAGAAGGGAAGAUAAUGACGGUACCAUGGGAGGAAGCCCCGGCUAACUACGUGCCAGCAGCCGCGGUAAUACGUAGGGGGCGAGCGUUGUCCGGAAUUACUGGGCGUAAAGGGUUCGCAGGCGGCAUGGCAAGUCCGAUGUAAAAGGCGAAGGCUCAACCUUCGUAAGCAUCGGAAACUGUCAAGCUUGAGUGAAGGAGAGGCAAGUGGAAUUCCUAGUGUAGCGGUGGAAUGCGUAGAUAUUAGGAGGAAUACCGGUGGCGAAGGCGACUUGCUGGACUUCAACUGACGCUGAGGAACGAAAGCGUGGGUAGCAAACAGG
rnacentral:rRNA from 1 species